UAUACACACACACACACACACACACACACACACACACACACACACACACACACACACACACACACACACACAGUGUUGAGCCUUGGCCAUCAUAACAGUGAGGUUCCUGAGCCUGUUGUACACAACGAAUUUCAUAGCAAACAAAAUUGAGUGUUUGGUUCCAAAAUCUCUGUGACCUCCUUUUGUAUGUCCCUUACCUGACACAGGAGACUGAAGGGCAACACACACCCAACACAAAGGUCUAAAAACUGCACUUUAGGAAGAUGAUUUUGAGCAAUUACAAGAUUGCCAAAGUGAACAUUAGCCUUCUGCAGCCAAGAGCUGCUCCCUGCCUGCCUCUGUUCAGCUGACUGUGCUCCAAAACACCAGUAGCCUCUGUCGUCCUGGCCAGUCAGCGCCUUCCUCUCCUUGCUGGCAGUGGACACGCUUGAAUGAGUGUUGAAGAAUACAACACCAGAACAGUGGUUAGAGCAUAACACUUGCUCCCACGACACCAGGCAGUGCUUGGGGGUGGGGGGUGGGAUCAGUGUAAGUGAGUCCGUCUGCCAGCUGGUGCAGGGAGGUUCACUCACCUGCUCAUGCACAAAGUUGUGUUGGUGGCUCAUGCAGAUGCAAAACAAAUUUUGAAAAUGUUACCCAUCAAUGCAAUCUGAUUUCUUGCUCAGGAAUUCAUGUUUGGCGAGGGCAGACUGUGUGUGUUCGUGUGUGUAUAUGUACUUCAUGAAAAUGCUGAGAUUACUGAUCAUGCUCUAGCUUGGAAGAACCCAUAGAGUAAGAAGCUGAAGAAAGCUCAAACCUAUAAUAUCAACUGUGUUGUUGAAGUUUGUUCUGUUGGUGUAAAUUGUUACAGGAAACUCACCGUGUGAUUGGCUCAUAUUGCUGGGAAUGUGUGCUGAAUAGCUGUACACAGAAUGUAAUGGAUCAAGUUUAGUGAAGGAGACAUUGCAGGCUUUGGUCAAACUUAGGGUGAAAAUAUGGAAAGUGGCAUGACUCCCAACCCCCUGGGAAUCUCGUCGCAAUCUGCCCAAAGUUUCAUCAUUCGGUGCAAUCAUUUUUUCAUCAGAUUUCAGGACAGUUUCACAUUGUUAGGGAGCCCUCAGCCAGGCAUGCUACUUCCUGCCCUCACAAGAAACUCAAUACACACAGCAUCAAGGUUCAGGGAGUGACAGUCUGUCCUGCCUUAAGCCUCAUCAUAACAUAACCUGAUGCAUAAGGAAAAAACACUCUAAUCUAGCCCACACCCAACCCUGACCUGACCUGAUGCACACCUAAAACUGGCCUAACCAAACCAAUCCAAGUUUCAUGUACACCCAACCUGAUCUGAUGUUGACCCAGCCAGCCAUCACCUUAUUACAUCCUGCCCUCACCCCUCACCCCCACUGACCAGAGGCUUUACCAAACCAGACCAGAUUCUAAUAUAAUUCUAACUUAACCCUGACCUGACCUAAUGCACAGACAAAACUGACCUAACCCAACCACUCCAAGUUUCAUGCAUACCUAACCUGACCUGAUGUUGACCCAGCCAUCACCUUACUCACCCCUGCCCUUACCCCCACUGACCUCAGCCCUUACCAAACCAGAUCAGAUUCUAAUAUAAUGCUACCUUAACACUGACCUGACCUGACUAUAAUGGGGAAGUUUGACCUCAGACUAUAUGUGGAGGGCAAGCAAGGGCAAUCAACAAAGUGGUGCCGAGUUGCAGUGAGGAAGCCAUCAGUCAAAGUGGUGCCUCUUGUUCUUGACGCCAAGCCCAGCGUUUUGUAUCCUCCCACUCCCUCCCUCUCAGCAUGUGAUAAAAACACUUUGUGAGGUCUACAAAGAGAUGGCUGUGACUGGGAAGGUGCAGCACAAAAUCAUAUUAACUUUGCAUGCCGUGGUAACAGCAGGAAGGUGCUGCACACCAUGGGCCUUGCACUCCCUGGGCAGCACCUUAGAACUGCAGGUCAGUGUGUGCUGUGAGGCUGCAUGACAGUGAGUUUCCUGUAACUGAACUUGUGUAAUGGAAGGCGAGGAGUCUUGGGUUGAGCAUUGCGUGUGGGAGCCGUGCCGGCCAGCCCCUGGGCCUUGGUAAUGAGUGGUGACAGCUGCAGUGUGUGGAACAUAUCACCCAAGGAAAGUAACCCAAAUUAUAUGUGAUACUAUGUGAGUUAAUUAACAUUUGUGUGUGUGUACAAAGUUACCUGUUGUAUCACCUCAGAAUGGAUUUACUAUUUGAUAUUAAAUCUAUGAAGGCAUGUUGCCCAACAUGGUGAUGACAAUUUUGUGUUCCAAAAGGAAUCUCAUUUACAGCUCGUCCUGGAUGACAGCAAUUGGUAUUUUAAAAUUUCAACAGAUUCCUUAAUUUUUAGCAAAGUUCACCACCGAGCUGUGCUGCACACUGCUGCCGAGUCCCAGUCUCCAGCAUGUGAAGGCUUUCUUAAUAUCUUCUGAAGUGUAAAUUUUAUUCCCGUGCUUCUGUCCUGUAAUACAGAAUCUCUGUUUUUCUUGCAGCAGGCAAUGAGUUUGCUAAAUAUUAUAUUUAUUUUAUAUAACUGAAGCCUUAGCAGGUGUUCUGGUAGAUUGUAGCAAGCCACUUAGAGGCCAAUAUUUUGUUACUGAUCCAUGUGUCUUAUUCUGCUGCUCUUCACGUCACUUUGUUCACCGUGACACACCACUCCUGUGUGUUGGUGUGCGUCAAGUGCUGUUGGCUGUUGAAAGGCCUGCAUGGAAGGGAUCUGCACCUGUGUGUGUGCAUUCUUUACAGUAUUUUUAGUUUAGGUUCAUUAAGGUUUGUUUACUCCACAAUACUCUUCUGUCCAGUUUGCUGUGGUAUUGCUUCUCGAGAUCUUGAGUCAAGGUCUGGCACACGAGCCAUGACUGUGAUGGUUUACUGGUUCCAGGUAACAUACACAAUGGACAACUAAUGGAUAUUCACAUGCUUUAAUAAAGUAUUUAAAAUAUUUAUAUAAAUUGUAGCAGAAGGAUCUAAGAAGGUUAGUAAUUAAGGGUCAAAACCACUCAGAGGGCAAUGGCUUAUAACACUAAUGAAGCCUUACAUGUAUUCCUGUCUUCAGUUGUUACUACUGUAAAAAAAUUAACUUGGUAAUGCUCAAUUUAUAAUCUAAUCUACUUAAGUUAUUUGCUUUAAAAUAAUGAUAUUAGAUAUUCCAUGUCAUAAUGCAUAAUUUGAGUUUGUGUUCCAAGUACUGUGUAGCAAGUGGUCCUUACAGCCUCCAGCCAGGUGGUGGCAGGCCUGCAUCAGUGAGGCACUGGAGGACGGGAGCAUUAGGUCAUUGUUUGCAUGUUAUGUUUUGUGUUUAUAGCAGUAUGUAAUUUUAUUUAUGAGGUUAGGCGAACCAUGGCAUAGGUAUGUUGCCAUGAGUGGAAGUGAAUCUCAUACUUCACAGAUAUUACAGUAACCUUACAGGUAUGGAAGAUAUUGGAUCUUAUUAUCGCAUAACUAAAACUGUGAGUACAGGAUGAUUCUGCCCAUUCCAGCCCUCGGAGCCAGUGUCAAAGUGUAGCAGGUCUGAAGCAGGUGUUUACAGAACACACCACGCCGUACAGAGUGUGCAGCAUGGCACCCUUGUUGCCAAAAUUCUGUGUCGCAUAGAAUCCACAUUGCAGAGGGAAAUAUUUCCAAGGUGUUGCACAAAUCAUUGAAGCACACACACUCCUGGCCUCCUUUGUUUUGUUUCAUUUGAACAGUUUACUUGUAGCAACUUGCGUACUACAUUUGUGUCACAUAGAAGUGUUGUCACUUGCUUGGCAUUUGGGAAGGCAAGUUUAACUCAAGAAUAAUAUUACAUCCAAGGAAGUAAAGAAGCUGAGCCUUGCUGUCUGGUGGGCUGGGGAGGACAGGUGCCUGGGGGAGCUGGUUAGCCACUUGAAGCCUUGCUGUCUGGCGGGCUGGGGAGGGCAGGUGCCUGGGGGAGCUGGUUAGCCACUUGAAGCCUUGCUGUCUGGCGGGCUGGGAAGGACAGGUGCCUGGGGGAGCUGGUGAACCACUUGAAGCCUUGCUGUCUGGUGAGCUGGGGAGGACAGGUGCCUGGGGGAGCUGGUGAACCACUUGAAGCCUUGCUCUCUGGCGGGCUGGGGAGGACAGGUGUCUGUAGGAGCUCUUGAACCACUGGGUUGGCCUGGGCAGAUUCACGCUGUAUACUUGUAUCUAACUACUUCACUAUAUUUUAAGCCCUUGGUUUUAUAACUUAGGAUAUGCUAUUUAAUUUUUUAAGUAUAUUUUACACGUAUAUUUUACACUUAUUUAUUUGUUAUAUUUAAAUUUUGUAACAAUGUAAACCAAAUCGUAAUACCAAAUCAGUUUUGAUAACACACUGUCUCUGACUGUUUGGUUGCCUUCAAACCCUUGCUAUUAUACUGUGAAAGGGACAGUCUGAAGCCACACUGUGUAUUCAUGCUAACGCUAGGGCAACGUUUUGUACACACGAGACAGCAUGAUUAAGAACACCCUGAUAUUGUUUACAUCUCGACUCACCAUUUCAAACUUGAGGCUGGAGAGUGGGACUUUAUUGUGUACACAUGACAGCAUAACAAAGAAUACUCUGCAGAUAUUAUAUUACACUCAGCUUCCUGGCUGGAGGCAUCAGAGCAACAAGGCUUUAAGUCAGACUCACCAGUAAUGUGGCAGAUAAUCAAAUAAUGCUUGGUUGUUAAAGUCAGCCACUGUAUAGAUGUCAUAACGUGUUAACAACCUGUGUCCUAGAUUGCCAGAUAAUCGUUGUGCAUAAUGGUCAUAACAGUCUCCGUUCAACCCUCAAAUCACUUGGUGGGUUCCGCGCACUGUGCAUUGCCGACCACUGCUCAUGAGUGCUUGCCAGCCUCACUACCCCAAGGAAGGUGUCUAGAAAUUAGCUCUUGGUGACGGAGAGGCAGAGCUUGUGCAAGAUUGGGACCCAGUCACACAUGGAAUGAUCACACUGUAGAUAUACACUCUGCAAUUCUCUGUAUCUUGGGUGCAUCCAAAUGACACACUUUUGGAUUUAUUGUACUGGAUAACACCUUUUCCCAUAUAACCAGUCUCCACUCUUUCUGUCAAUUUCAUUCAUGACACUUUCCCUCAGUACACAGUCUGCCGUGUACAUUCUAGUCCUUGCUCCUUCCACACUGCCUCUGAAAUAUCCCAAAUCAUCCCUCUCUUAGGGGAGCCAGCCUCACUGGUACACUUUAGCACACACACUUUUUCCCCUGUGCUGGAAUGGCAUGGACAGCUUAGUGGCAGGUUCUGUCAGCUGUCGCAGCAAGUGGCUGAGAAGCAAACCAUUGUAACAUUCCUGUGUGCCAAGAAACACAUGCACCUCAACACUACACCUUUAGUGCUAGCCAUCCACAGGGAACACAGGAACUCUCACUGUACCACUUGCUGGGUUAUGGUCCUCAAAAUUUGAUUUUCUUCUUUUUCAUUUAAUGUCCUUAUUUUCCCUUAUGGGGUUGGACGGAUUGAUGUGACGACAUAAUCAUUUGAAAUUUGAUUGUGAAGUAGUCAUCGUCAUGUUGAUAUCAUUAUAACAUGGGUUUAAUGGGGAGACGUUCCUGGCCACUCAAAUAACUAAUAACUAAUCACAAUGGGGCCAAACAUCCAAAACAGUUGUUUUUAACAACCAGGGUUCCAGAGAGAGAGAGAGAGUCUUCCUUAACAUAGGCUCUGGGAGAUCAAUUACUGGUGAGCCAACCAUGACCUGAGGAAGAACAGUUACAUUUUUCAUACAUGAGCGAACACAGGCAUAAAAAGUAAUAUUUGGCUCAUUAAACUUUGUGUUCUAAAUUUAAUUCCCUACCACAACAACAAUCUCCAGUGACUGCAUGUAUGAACUGUCAAAAGAGACUCACCAGCAGCCCCCUCCCUCUCUGUCUCAACAAACCUGGGCAGUGAACACAGCCAGCUGAAUUUCAGGAAAUAUUGCAUGUUUUAUGCAUACACUUUCCCACAUAAUUGCAGUUCUAUCAGUGGCUGGUUUUCUUGACUUUGAAGAGUAGAAACGUGCUCUGUGGGAAAAGGUAAUGACUAGUUCUUGGACUCGGAGUAUGACGUGCAUAGACUGUAAAGGUUACAUUCACUGACCUGAGAACUCCGAUUUGUUAAGAAUUAUUUUUCUUUUCAAUUUUGUGACUUGUGCAGGAAAGGAAUGCCUUGGUGAACACCAGCAAGUUGAACACUGAAAUGACAAUGCUAAACAAGCAGUACAGGUGUGAUGGAUACUUUAUAAAUGGACUGAGGUGGUGAUGGCGAGCACUGGUCAACAUGAUGGAGGACUGCCAAGGAGUGAAGUGGAUCCUGACAGGUCCACCUCAAGGAAACAAGCCACUCACAGGGCAGCGACAGUGACAGUACUGACAGGAUGAAGAUGGGCUCAACCCCAGUUCUCAAUGCCUUGGAAUAAGUGUUUUGCUGGGGCCACUUGGACUUCUUUCUGGCUUCAUUACUUUGAAUUAUGGAUGUUUUGUGUUUCUCCGUGCAGUUCUGUAAUAACAUGAUGCAUUGUUACAUCUUAAAUCCGGGCCACAGUUAAACCCAGAUGUUUUGUAAGGCACAAAAUUUACCACCAGGUACACACCCCAGCAGUGUGUGACCACUCAGCUGGGUGUGGCACCCAGGCUGCUCCAUGGCUUGACAUUGCAGCAGGAUACUUUCUUAAGUCUUGUAUUUCUCCCUGUCUCCUUUUCUUAGGGUGGUGUGUUGUGGGCAUUUCUUGUAUAAUUUUGUCUUUGCCUUUGGCCCGCCUCCUAUGAUGUGAAAAAGUAAUUGCACAUUCAGUCCAAGACCUUCAGUUAUAAAAUUAUAUGUCAAGGUGUGUGGCUUCCAUCACAGCAGCACCACCCUCAGCACGGCUCAUGAUACUGCAGAAACCCUCCCAUUAUGCUGACGGGAAAGUUGUUAACUCAGCCUCAAUGAUUGGCAACUUACCAUCUGCUGCAGUCACUGUUGGCUAACUUGUGCCCUGUGCCCUGCCCCCUCCCCACCCUCACCCCCACCCUCUCUUCAGGAUGGUGUGGGCCUUCUUCAGUCUCUAUUCACACGUCAUUAUUUUCCUGUGAUAUGUCCCUGAUUGGCUGAGGAUAUUUUUGCUGGUUUAAUAGAAAACAAAAACUAAAACUAAGAGCCAGCUGUCCAGGAGUUUGAGGCUGGGGUGUGGCUGUGACUGUAGUGAAGCAGUGACAUGAAGUGAGUGGUGCUGCACACAACAUGUCUUCACACACACACUUCCUCACCCCAUGUUUUGUGCGAUGCAGCCUUGGCUCUGCACCACAUUUGUAAACACAUUUUUGAACUCCACAGCUGAAGUACUUUUGUUGUAGUUCCUGAGGCAUCACAUGUCGUGGCCUGUUGUCUCUUGGUGGCUCACACAUGGGAGUGUUGUUCACCAGCGACAACAGACUACUGCUCUUCACACCCUCUUCAUCCUCAUAAUCAUCAAUCAGGAGAUAGUUCAAGCAAAAUAUAUGAAUGAAUUUAAACCUAGGCUUUAUAAAUGAGUGAAACUCACUUACUGUAUACCACAACUAGGCUAACACACACACACACACACACACACACACACACACACACAGGUCUGUAAAUGUUAUAAAAUCCAAAGGUUGAAUUCAUAAAUAGUCAUAACCAACAUCCAUUCAACAACUCCUCAUGUGUCACUGAGAAUACUGAUCAUCCUCAUGUGCACAGCUGGGCGUUAUCGCAAUAAGUUAUCGUGAUACUUUAUCGCUGAUAACAAAAUCGGGUUAUCAGCCAUCCGCUACUUAUUUGAAUAUAUAUUGGUAUCUUCGUUACUUUUGUAACCAAAAUAGAGAUAAUCGCUACUUUUUUCCGCCUCUCAGAAAAAGAAACUUUGUCUCCCUACUGCGCAUGCGUGGCCCAGUGUUGUAUGAAAAACUUCAGGGUAUGAAAUAUCUUCGGUUAAGAGAUUUCAUACUUAGAUCAUCAACAUUAAAACACAAGGUUAUGCUUUUAUGUUAGAUUCAGAAAUCGCUAUAUCAAAGAGAAAAAUCAUUUAACUUUGCCCAAAAAAUAAUUAUUCACUGCCUCAAAUUUAAUAUUCCAUAUUCGUUUGUGAGCAUGCCAUGGUAUUGAAGGCAUCUGGUGUUGUGUUAUUUGGUGUCCCAUCGUCAAAAGCUGGUGCUUUUGUUUACAAACACUGGUCUCUGUGAACUACCCAUGUUCAGACCAGUAAGCGUAGACCUGUACAGUCUCACAAAGCUUUUUAACACAUUAAGAGUAGUUGCUGGAAGGCUGAAUCAAACAUACAGUACCACCAUCCUCGCUGUUUCUAGAAUGACACUCUGUACAUAUAAAUACAACUUGUACAGAGUGUCGUUCUAGAAACAGCGGGGAUGGUGGUAGUGGUACUGUAUGUCUGAUUCAGCCUUCCAGCAACUCUUAAUUACGGUUAUAAAGCUUUGUGAGACUGUACAGGCCUACGCUUGCUGGUCUGAGCAUGCGCAGUUCACGAGAGACCAGUGUUUGUAAACAAAAGCGCCAGCUUUGACAGUGGGGACGCCAAAUAACACAACACCGGUUCAGGCGUUUCUAGCAUUACCUUCCAUAGGUAUGUGUCAAUGUGUGGUUUUCAGUUUUGUAAGUUUUCUAAAAUACAGAUAAUGAAAAUUUGAAUUCAUCUUUGUUUUUUUUUUAUUUAAAAUAUCAAUAUAAUAUUGUUUUUGCCUAUUCGGACUUAUCGCUAGCUAGUAUCGGAAUUGUGGAUUCAUAUCGGAUAUCGGUUAUCGCCUAUAUUUGUGUUUCCAGUUAACGAAUAUCGGUUAUCAUCGAUAAGGUUUUCCAUUAUCAGUUAUCAGUUAUCGGGAAUAAGGUUUUCUGUUAUCGUACCCAGCUAUGCUCAUGUGUCUUUGGUCCCCUUUGCUUGAGCUGUUUCCAUGCCAUCACUGGUAAAACAACGUGAUCACCCAUUUGCAGAUUUGUUCAAUUUCUGUUUUUCUUUUCCUCUGCCUAAAUUUUCCUUAAAUUCAUCCUAUUAGGUAUUCUUUGAUGCUUCAAGCAAUGGCAGAGUUGACACCUCAGGUUUAACAAGUAAAUGAAUGGAUAGUUAAAAGAGAAUCACUGGACAUCUGAACAAGUGAGUCAUUGGUAUUCAUGGUAGUUCUGUGUGAAUCAAGGACAAAUUUGUGGUAUUUUCAUGACUCGGACACUUGUUUUGGUUUGUUGCGCCGCGUGUGUGACGCCCAGUUUUAAAAUUAAUUUAUUAUGUCUUGAUGGCAUCACCAGCCAGUAACUGCUUACCCAAGUUGGAUUUGUAACAGGACUCGGUAUUUUUGCAGUUUUUAUACAAGGUCAUAAAAUAAGAAAGUGACUAAGUAGUAUUUCCUCAAGAUGUUUUAGAGGCAGUUCCUUGCAAGUCUAUUUUAAUACUCAUUUUCAUACCUACUGUUAUGUGCUUCUGUGAAGGCUUAUGUCAGGGAAACAUCAACUCAUAUGCUUCAUUGACGUAUUUAUUUAACCCCCAAGAAAAUAGUUGGAGUAACACCCUUAACUUGGCCUUAAAAGAAUCUCACCAAAAUUUUUACUUUCACUUGAGUCCACACUGUAGUUUGCAUAAAUCUCACACCUCCAGCAAGCACAAACUGUGGCAUGUGGGUUGUGGUUCUGUUGUUUCCUCUGCUGCAGCUCCAAAGAGUAUCAUUUCCAUGAUGAAUUCUUCUCUGGAGCUGGUGGCUGCUAGAGUUGUCCAUUCAUUCCUACAUUACAGUUCAGGCAUUUAUCCUUUUAUUGUUGCUGUCACACAUAACUGACAUGUAAAACUCACCGAGUUUAAAAUUUUCAUUCAUUUCAAAAUUAUAUUUUUUAGUAAUCAGCAUCACGUCUGGUACAAGGCCAGGCCACAUUACCUUACUGGUACAGCUGCCGCUGGAAUGCCGCGUGUCUUGUAGCUCUAACUCGUGAUGACUAACUGUGUCCUUACCAAGCGCUGCGUCAAGGCAGACUGAGGCAGGGAAGUCAUGUUAUGCCAGUUGUCCCAAGACCCAAGAUUUUGCCCUCCGUUUAUAGGAUCAAAACUAAUUUUAAGACUUAAAUGUUCUUGAAACCUCAAGUUUUGUAGUGUAGGUCAUUCGUGCUCUCAAAGUGUGUCAAGGCUGGCUGUGAAAACUUGAAUAUUUUUGUGCCACUAAUUUUGUUGAGGUCUACCUGUGUCAGCGUCACCAUUAUUAGUAUUUACAGUUUUGAAUCUCAAGUUUACUACAAAUCUUUGAUAUUCAUAUGUAUGCUACACACACACACACACACACACACACACACACACACACACACACACACACACACACACAUAUGAAAAGCCCUUGACUAAUUUUGUGAUGUACCCUAAUGCACUCUCUUGUCUUGACAGUUGCCUUUGGAUAUUUUAUACAGAUGUGUACAUAUGAAAAUAUUGUAAAAAUGGGUAUUUUCUUCCUUUACUAAAAUAAAAUAUAAAAUAGAA